GGAUUAAUGCGCACUGGCAGGAAAACAGGCGCACUCAAGUCCGUGUGCGCACACAUGUGGCCGUGCCAGCUCCCCCCAAACCCGCAUCUCGACCGAGUUCGUGCACAAAUGAAUGUUUAAUAAGCUCCUUUCGCAGUACGCGCGGGAGCGCGCCGUCGGGGACGAGCUUAAGGUGGCCGGUCAAACCAUUGACUCCCGUGCACUGCUUCGCCGCGCAGGAAAGCGCGAAGCCUUACGGGAGAUAAACGGAAGGCAAUGAAUGGCCAGGAAAUUUAAGACCAAAUACGUCGUUUGGUUGGGCAAAUCCCCAAGUCGCCUUCCUGCAAGGAAGAAGACAAAGAAACACAAAGGGAAGUCAAGUAAAAAAAUACAUACAAGUAAAUGAACACUAUCAAGUUGCUGUAUUGAAUGUAGACUUUUAAAAUAUUCAUUUGCACUCCGGCGAGCCGUGUUUAUUGUUCUCCUCUCCAUUAGAAGGAAUAGGCUAGAAAGUAUCCCUGGCCGCCUGCCUGAUGAUUGCUCACCAGCUCUGAACGGCACCAGUUUACACCCACUGACCUCACAAGUUUGAUUCACACACAAGUCUGGUUCUUGCUCCGUGUUGACAUCUCUGUCCUGGGCACGCAGGGACUCGUCUCGGCGAGAAUAAUUACUUCUAGUCUAUUUAAUGUCAAUGAAUUCUAGCGUGGAACACGCGAUCGACGCCGUUUUGCAGGCGUCGCAUGUUUUUUUUUUUUUUGCAGCUUCUCCCCUGAACGACUUUUAAGCUUUUUUUUCUGCUGGAAUUUAUUAAUAACCGGGAUUAGGGUUGUGAUGUAAACGUGUGCUCGGGACAGCGCGCGUCUGUGUGUGUGUGUGUGUGUGGGGUGGGGGGGGGGGGGGG